AAAUAAUAAAAAAGGGUGAGAGGCGGUUGUUAGUUUUUUUUUUCUAUUUUCUAUUUGAUUCUUCUUCUUCUGUGAAUCUUCGCUUGUCAUCAUAUGUGAAUCAAUAAAUUUGGGAG
rnacentral:ribozyme from 1 species